GGGCACAUGGUGUAGUUGGUUAUCACAUCCGCUUAGCAUUGCAAUGUUGCAAUAUAGUAUGCGGGGGGUGCUGGGUUCAAUUCCCAGUGUGUCCA